UUCCAUUAAAAAAAAAACAGCCCGUUGCCUCUCAACUGACACCCGCGCUUCAAUCGGGAUCGACUUCCGCCUCGAAACUGGCAGCCCACAUUUUGCGGCCUAUAAAAUCCCUGUUGAAUUCCGGUGAACUGACUCAUGACCUGGACCUAGUGUCAAAGUGAGCUACCAUGUUUGGUGAUGGAUUCGUGCGAAAGAAAGUUGGCAGCUGUCAUACCCUUUCUGGAAUCCAAUGGCGAUUCACGGCCAAUUACGCUUCCAUCUUUUGGAUUGGAUUAAAAAACGAAGGCAUCGAGACAUGUUGGUGAUAAUUGAUCGAGUUGAGAUCCGAACGUGUUUUGUGUUCGAACGAAAAUUGAAAAGUAAACACUACGACCUUC